GCCCAGUGAGUCGCAUAACAAACCGAACCAAUCAGGUGAUUCGAAGCGGUUGAGUGCUUCAAACGUCACUGAAGUGAUUCAAACGUCACGAGUCACGUGACCAAAACACGCCUCGGCACAGUGGCUCGAUAUGUUUGCUUCAUGAGCUACAGCGCAUGUGUCGAAGCCUCGGGUAUCAGAGGACCAUCGCUAUCUCUGGCUGCUGUUGACCUUGUUUUUGGAGUAAAACACGGUGGAAGCUGAAUUAGUGAGGAUGACUCCUGCUCCUGUCAUCUCUAAGCUCCUCACACAUCUUUACCUGCACAUGAGGAAAAUCACUCCUGUAGAAUGCAGAGGGAGAUGAUGCCACAUCUGGUCCAGCUGAUGGAAGGUCUUGAAGUUCUCUGACUGGCCUCGACUGAAGAUGGUCGUCUCACUGGAUUUAAGAUGCACAAUGAGGGACGUCUGCAGAGACUGAGAAAGAGUCUCACCACAUCCUGACAUGAGGAAAAAGACUUUAUUGAAGACUACAAUGAGAAAAACUAUCAGACAGCAGACGGCUGCAUUCAAGAAGACCAUCAAACAUCCACGUCAGCUGAUGGAGGUCCAAGAGUCUCACCCAACAAACAACCUACAGAGUGAAGACCUCGAAUCUGAUUGGACAGCCUCCUAUUCAGCCACAUUUUAGGCUGUUAGAUUGUUCCAGAUAAGACAAGUACAAGAUACUUCAGAGCUGUUCUACCACGAGCCUGACAGGAAGAACUCCAACAGCUACUGAAUGUUCCUGUGGUCCCCUCAAGGCUACAGGAGGAGCCCUACGAGGACGAGCCG
ensembl:lncRNA